CUUUCUGAGCAGUAUGACUAGGACAGCAUGCUAGACAAUAUGAAGAGAAGGAAGGAAAGAUCUCUGCAUAUAUUCGGGAAACUCCACUGGCUGCUGAACCCUGAAUUCCUAGGGUGGAAAGAGAGAACUUCAUGCCAUUCUUUUUAAAAACAGCUCUUUGAAUGCUGUUGUUGUUUUUGUACAUAAUUCAUGUGGUAUAGGAAUAAUUCAGAUUCAGAUCUCACAAUCACACACACUGUCUGCUUUUCUCUGUGCAUUAUGUAACUGAUUCCCUGAAUGAGGCUUCCUGGUGCUUGUAGCUCUCACCCUUUGGUGUAAUGGAUGAGAAGGACAACAGCAGCUGAGAGACCCAAAGGACCGCUAAAAGAACCCUAUGCAUUGUGUUAAAAAAAGAGAGAAAACUGAACACAUUUAUGAAGAAUGGUUUGCAUUUUGAAUUUGACUGACAGUCCACUCAAAUCAGAAGGUCCUCCCCUGACAAUCUUGGAUUUUCUCAAUCUCUUGCAUUUAUCAUCAAUACAGAUCUGGAGACUAGGCUGAAAAGGCUGAUUUAGCCAAAACCAACAACAGUCAAGGAAGGACAAGAAGGAACAACUGCCCCCAAAUUAGGAUCUGGAUGGAGAGAAUGUGUAGUGGUUUCACCCCCAUGUUUGGAAGGCUUGUCCUUCAGAUAAUUCUGGAUUUGGAAGACACAGCCUGGCUUUGCCAAAAUGAGAAAUGCUGAGCUCCAAACGGAAGUGAACUAGUUUUGCCUUUGCUUUUGGUACCUUUAAAUAACAAGAGAAUUUGUUUGGCAACCUUGCUUCAGCUUGGAGUGUGAGGUGGAGACCCUGCUGAGUGUGUUACAGAGAACAGGGAAGAAGGCAUCUUUCAAGAAGUAUAAAUAAAUUCCUAAAAUU